rnacentral:lncRNA from 1 species
UGGGCGUGCGAGUGCAGAAGGGCUUAAAUGGACAAGUGAGGAGGGAGGAGGUUGAGAGAUGCAUCAAGGAAGUGAUGGAUGGAGAGAGGAAGGAUGAGUACAAAAGGAAUGUUGCGAAGUGGAUGCAAAAGGCCAAGGAGGCAAUGCGCCCUGGAGGAAGCUCAGACAAUCAUAUUGCUGAAUUUGCUGCUAAGUAUUCAUCAAGUUAAAAGUAUAGUUAUGCAAUGCUUAUUUCAUGACAAGUAACUAGGCACUGGUUUGAGCCCUACAAAAUGUUUAGGGAGAGAAGUACAUGUUUGCUUUGUUCUGUAAUUGUUCAUGUUAAUCACAUCUUUUGUGCCAUACCAAUUGUUUCUCAUAAAAUCUUAUGGUACUUAAAAUUACUAUUAGUGACGAUGUUGAUGGGUGUUGCGCAGUUGAAAGCCCGGGGCUUUGCGCGGCCGCAGACGCACGCUCCAGCAUAGGCCCAAACACAAUUCAAUUAUUUGAAGAGAAAAAAAGCAAAGCAGGCCAGCUCUAUGCAACACAUCAUAGCCCAUUCUAUAAUUCUGAAAAUUGUAAAAAGAAAAAUUCUAUCCCUAAAAGUUUGAUAAUUUGAAUUUGGAAGUCCAUCUGAAUACUUUUGAAAGUUUGUCCAACAAAAUUGAUAGCUUCAUCCUUGAAACGUUGGAAGUUUUCACAAGAAAAUUGGAGUCCAUCUCGGAAUGCUAAAAGUUUGCCCAUGGAAAUUUGAAAUUUUGUCAAAAAAUAUGAAAGCUUCCAUCUUGAAAUUUUGUCAAAAAUAAUUAGAAGUCCAUCUUAGAUUUUUAUAAGUUUUGUCAAAGAAGUAGAAAGCAUGUCUCUAAAAAUUUAAAAGUUUGUCAACAUUAUGUUGAAAGCUCAUCCACAAUUACUCUUUGAAAAUCCACUCUUUAACAAAAAUUGAAAGUCCGUCUCAAUUUUUUUAAACAAAAAACUAAAAAUUAUCUCAAGAAUUUUGAUAGGAAAUUAUGGCUUUUCUCUGUUUUAGAAGAAUAAAAAAGGAUCAACGGGCAAACAAGGCGCCCUCAAUCGCUCGGGGGAGAUCGUUUAGUUGAAAUUUGACCGGUGUUGAGCUGCGCUAAGUAGUGCACUGACUUUUCUUUGGAAUCCACCAAUUUUCUACAUUGAUCGACGCGUUGCCUACUACGAUCAUUAUCAUGGGGUUUCCUAAUUGGGGGACGACCGCCAAUAUAGAUCCCAGUGGACAAAUUCCGACAGCCCAUUUUUUCGGUAGUCGGAUAAAUUUGUUCCACUUUUAAAAACUUUUUUUUUCUUUCCUGAUCUUUUAUUUUUCGAACUUUUAGUCUUUUUAAAUUUUACUUUUUAUUUGAAACUUUUAAGGUCUUAAUUUUUCAACUUUUAUUUUUGACUUUUCAUUUUUAUAUUUUUUUCAAAUUUUAUUUUAAAUUUUUUUUUGUGAAGGAGCCGAACAGCCCGGAUCCGGCUCGGGGAAGCUGCGGCACGAGGCUCUGGCGUGGCGUGCGGGGAGCAGGCGAGGUGGAGAGGGGGGUUGGGAAGGAGCAGCACGCAGGGGAGAGUGAGGAGGAUCCGCCGCGUCCGCCGCCUCGAGCCACGCAGACACACGAGACGUGAUGCAGGAUGCUACCCUACUGAACGAGAUUUCAGAAAUUAGCGGGACCAAGAAAAAAAAUUGAAAACAAAAUCUGUCGGAAAAACCGGUUAAUUUUUUUAAGCAACUGGUCAAGCAUCAAUAAAGCCUCAGAUAAACGUUGAAUCGUAGACAAUUUCGCUGUAUAUGCCGCCUUUACACAUAGCGUCGUCGAUGGAUCACGGCGCCGCGCCGACUGGCGGCGUGCCCCAUGACUGGUCCUCCUCAUCCUCUGUCGUGGCCCGCCCAUACCCGUGGCCACCGCCGCCGCCGAUCACCUCUAACAUCCUCACCACCCCCGCCGCAGUCGCAGCGCAAGCCAUGGCCACCUGCAGCCGCGCCACGAUUUCCUCCUCCCUGGCCCCGCUGCCCAUCCGCAUGAGCUCCGUGUUGAACACCUCCGCCGUCCUCUCCUCCCGCACAACCGACCGCACCCACCUCGGCAGAUCCACCAGCGCCUCUCCCCUGGUUGCCGCCGCCCGGGAGGCCGGGACCUGCCGGUAAGGAUCUCGAGGAGCACCAUGAGCGAGUACACUCUCACUUGAGCGUGGGCCGACGCAGGUCCACGAGCUCACGGAGGCGGCGGCGCGAAGAGGUGCUGGAGGCGGCCGUACGUAAUCGGAGAGCGCUGUGUCCGGUUGUCUAGGCAGACGCAAACCCGGCCUUGAUAAUUAUCCGCAUGACACAAAUGGACGCACAGGGACAAAAUGAGUCCGGAGUCGCCCCACGAAUCCACGCCGUGAGCUGCCACACAGAUUUGGCCGCAAGCGGAUAAUUUAAUUUUGCAGAAGUUAUACUAUUAAGCGCUUGCACAAGCGUCUAGCUGGCCUAACUUUAAACGAAGAAGUCCAUGUCCAUGGCUAGUAGAUCUUGGAUAUUUUUUUAGGGAGAAACAAUAGAUCAAUUGAUCUACUGAUGUACAAGUAGAUCUUGGAUUUACUGCUGGGAGCAUGCAGGAAGAGAAGGGAAUCUUCAUCUUGCGAGGCAGUCUGCUACAACGCCUAUCAUACAAACAUCUUCGGAGUAGCAAAUUUGUAGCAAAAUCCAGUUUCGCAACCACCAAUUGUGACCUCCCAGAAUCCAGAAGCUUUUGCGCCACUCCACUUGGAUCCUUUGACAAGAAACCCCGACCAAACUGAAUCAUGGACAGCACUGGCACCGGCUCGAGCGUGGCCCAUGAAGGCGGCGAGGGCGCCAACGUCUUCUUCCUCCCGGUCCCAGGGGCGCAGGGCCACACGAACCCGAUGCUCCAGUUUGGCCGCCGCCUGGCUUACCAGUACGGCUUCCGCCCCACGCUCGUCGUCAGCAGCUACACGCUGUCCACGACCCCGCCCCCCGACGCGCCCUUCCGCGUGGCCGCCAUCUCCGACGGCUUCGACGACGGCGGCAAGCCGUCCGGCCCGGACAUGACGGAGUACUUGCGCCGGCUGGAGGCGGUCGGGUCGGACACGCUGGCGCGGCUCCUCUCCGACGAGGCGCGCGCCGGGCGGCCCGUGAGGGUGCUCGUCUACGACCCGCACGUGUCCUGGGCGCGGCGUGUGGCGAGGGACGCCGGCGUGCCCGCUGCGGCUUUCUUCUCGCAGCCGUGCGCGGUGAACAUCUUCUACGGGGAAGUGCACGCGGGGCGGAUGGCGAUGCCCGUGACGGAGAGCGAUGCGUGCGCGCUGGUCGGGGGUGGAACGCUGGGCGUGGAGCUUCGGCCGGAGGAUUUGCCGCCGUUCGUGGCCUUGCCGGAGUGGCACCCGGUGUUCACCAAGACGUCGAUUCGGCAGUUCGACGGGCUGGAGGACGCCGACGACGUGCUCGUCAAUUCCUUCCGCGACCUCGAGCCAACGGUGAGUCAUAAUUAUUUCUGUGGACAAGAUCCAUCGGUAUCCAAACAUUCGGCUGAAAAUUUCAUAAGUCGCAGUCAAUUUUUCGACAAUGCAUGUCACACAAACACAAAAUCAAUACCUACAAUUUACAAAAACUGGAACUGCAAAUAGCGAAGGAAAAAAAGUGCAAUGGAAUUACACAACGUGCAAAUGGAUAUAGCAGUGGUGAAUUAAGCUACAGAGCGACGGAUCCUCGGCCUGCUGGUAUAUAAAUUUGUCUUUUCCUUUUCUGCCGAAAAGCAUAACUCCGCACGAAUCCUUGUGCAGAUCCGGCAGCUGACAAAUUGACCGCGCUCUGGCAAAACUUUUUUGAACUAACUAGACUUAAAUUUUUGAAUGUUUUGCUCCCAUAGUCUUCUAAGUGUACGUACCAUCGGGUUUCUGUGUUAGCCAGCGUUAGUUAGAUCAAACUCAGAUGGGUACAAAUGAACAAAUUUGCUCCGUCAUUUUCUAAAGGGAACUUGGUCAUAGAUAUUUAUGCUUUUAAUCGAGCAGGAGGUAGAAUACAUGGAGUCAACAUGGCGAGCUAAGACGAUAGGCCCAUCCUUGCCGUCCUUUUACCUAGACGAUGAUUGUUUGCUAUCCAACAAGUCUUAUGGUUUCGACCUCUUUAGCGGCGACGAUGGGGUUUGCAUGGAAUGGCUGGAGAAGCAAACCAUUUCAUCAGUUGUGUUUGCAUCUUAUGGGACUUUCUCAAAAUAUGACGAAUCCCAGCUAGAGGAGCUCGGAAAUGGACUAUACAGUUCCGGCAAGCGUUUCCUUUGGGUUGUGAGGUCGGAUGAGGCACACAAGUUAUCACAAGAACUCAAGACGAAAUGUGAGAAGAAAGGACUAAUUGUUCCUUGGUGCCCCCAACUUGAGGUUCUGGCACACAAGGCCACAGGUAUGACAUCAAAAUUACAUUACUUUUUCUUUUCUCAUACAUAAGAGAGUAUUGGGAAAUGACAAAACUUAUUAAGAUCUUAACUUUUUAAAUUCAAAAUAUUCAUGUAGGUUGUUUUUUAACGCAUUGUGGAUGGAACUCAACAUUGGAGGCAAUUUCUAAUGGUGUACCUUUGGUGGGAAUUCCACAUUGGGGAGACCAGCCCACAAUCGCGAAGUAUAUGGAAAGUGCAUGGGACAUGGGUGUGCGAGUGCAGACGGGCUUAAAUGGACAAGUGCGAAGGGAGGAGGUUGUGAGAUGCAUCAAACAAGUGAUGGAUGGUGAGAGGAAGGAUGAGUACAAAAGGAAUGCUAUGAAGUGGAUGCAAAAGGCCAAGGAGGCAAUGCACACGGGAGGAAGCUCAAACAAGCAUAUUGCCGAUUUCGCCACCAAGUAUUCGUCAAGUUAAAAGUGUAGGUAUGCAAUGUUUAUUUCAUGAUAAUUAACUACGCAAUGUUUUGAGCCCUACAAAAUGUUUAGGGAGGAGCACAUUAAUCACAUUUUUGUGGUAAC